rnacentral:rRNA from 1 species
UACGGAAGGGGCAAGCGUUGUUCGGAAUCAUUGGGCGUAAAGGGCGCGUAGGUGGUUCUGUAUGUCUACCGUGAAAGCAUACAGCUCAACUGUAUUUUGUCGGUAGAAACUGCAGGACUUGAGGCUGGGAGGGGCUGGUGGAAUUCCCUGUGUAGCGGUGAAAUGCGUAGAGAUGGGGGAGAACACUCGUGGCGAAGGCGGCCAGCUAGACCAGUUCUGACGCUGAGACGCGAAAGCGUGGGGAGCAAACAGG